AACUAGCCCCGAUUAAAGUGAAAAUAAAAAAUGUCCCGAUUGUUUCGGGACAUUUUUUAUUGCAACGGAAAGCGGGAAAAUGG
rnacentral:sRNA from 1 species